AACGAGCUUUCUGCGAGAGAGGCGGUGCUGUUCUAUCUGAGAGAGACAGCCACGGAAUCUUUGAAUCGAGUAGCCUUCACCCAAGAGGUUUUGAUUGUUUUGAAAACUGACACCAGAACGAAACAUCCAAGGAGGAGUUGGUAAGCUGAAUGACUGCGCAAGAGUUAUGCCGUUCAGCAUGCCUUCCGAAAGAGUGCAGCAGCUCUGGUAUCCUGUGUCAAGUAAUUGGAAGCAUCGCAACAAAAGAGUUCGAACUUUUAUGCUGCGUCAGUGCAUAGGACGACGUUAGUGCGCAACUUCGACAGAACCAAACGUCCUGCUUGAGCCUAUUUCCCCCUGCAACGUAAUCACACAUGAAUCACCAAGUUUGUGAUACCCAGCUUGCUCGACUUUGAGAGGAAAUCGAAAGUCACAGAUAGCCAUGUUUGUAGAAAAUCCCGUGUUGUCCCCAGUCUCCAGAUUUGGCUGGGUGAGGUAGCACUGCGUGUGUGGUUGACAACUGAGAGAGAUCAUUACAGCAGGUGCAUGUAUGGGGAGAUAUUGAUAGUCUUCGUAAUGUUUGCUGUAAUUAGCACCGACUUUGUAUACAGUCGUGAUGAAUUCUUAGUUAGAUGUUGUGGCUAUUCCCAUUUUUUUGCUAGUUUGCUUUCGCAAAAGUUUUGAAAGGAAUUCUUAUCGCCAAGUGCGCAUAGUCCGGACGAAAGAUUCUUGAGGGAUAUUAUUCCCGAGUUUGUGGAACAUUAAUGCCGCAUCAGCUGCAAUAAUUGUGGUGUUCCAGCUUGCAUAAAAAAAUAAGCAAUCCAGAAUGUGCAUUUGCUUUUGUAGCGAUUUCACUUA